rnacentral:rRNA from 1 species
GACGGGCCCGCACAAGCAGCGGAGCGUGUGGUUUAAUUCGAUGCUACACGAAGAACCUUACCAGGGUUUGACAUGCAAGUGGUAGGAAACCGAAAGGCGACCGACCCUUCGGGGAGCUUGCACAGGUGCUGCAUGGCUGUCGUCAGCUCGUGUCGUGAGAUGUUCGGUUAAGUCCGCUAACGAGCGCAACCCUCGCUGUGUGUUACAAGUGUCGCACGGUACUGCCGGUCUUAAGCCGGAGGAAGGUGGGGAUGACGUCAAGUCAGCAUGGCCUUUAUGUCCUGGGCUACACACACGCUACAAUGGCCAACACAAUAGGUUGCUAAGCCGCGAGGUGGAGCCAAUCCUCAAAGUUGGUCUCAGUUCAGAUUGCAGGCUGCAACCCGCCUGCAUGAAGAUGGAGUUGCUAGUAACCGCAGGUCAGCUAUACUGCGGUGAAUACGUUCCCGGGGCUU